rnacentral:piRNA from 1 species
UGUGAUUGCACCACUGCACUCCAGCCUGGU